AUGUGAAGGCUGCAGAGGACCCACCAGGAUCCCCUUGGAGGACAGCAAUGGGACUGCUUGAGGUCUUUGGAAGCACUUCAGUUCAGAAUGCCUUCCAAAGAAUGAAGCCCACCCACCCAUGGCUCAGCUAAUGGCGUUCACCGGACCAGGAACCCCGAGACCUGAAGGAGGAGCCGUGCAUCUGGAGGAACACCAUGAGGCUACCCGCCAAGUAUGACUCGAUCUCCUGGGCAAGGCAUGGGGCACCAGGAUGGACCGAGGCUGAUCACCAAGCUGUUCUGAAACGCCAAAGGAGCCGUGGCGGAGGGCAGCUAAUGGCGAUCAGUGCUGGAGGACCUGCUGGGGAAGGACAUCCCUCGUGGGGUUGAGACGUCCGUCUCCGAGAUGUGAAGGCUGCAGAGGACCCACCAGGAUCCCCUUGGAGGACAGCAAUGGGACUGCUUGAGGUCUUUGGAAGGUAAAUGACAGCUGUUGGUCAACAUUGAAUUCUCAAUCUCGUCAUGUGACAACCAGUAGUGCACUCUUGAAUUCACACUUCUUGAU
rnacentral:lncRNA from 1 species